GUUUAGUGGGUCGGAGACGCGCAUGGGAUCAGGCACACUGACGAGGACAAAGUUUUAGACGGGUGAUAAAGACAUAUAGGAUUGGAGGACCUCAGCACCGGAGUCGGACGGGGAUGAGGACACAGGAGAGCGAGAUUCAAGUGGAGGAGGGACAUGGAUGCGGACAGGAACAGUUGCACGAAAGAGACCAAAGAGAUCCAUCCUUUUAGUUUUAAAUACCGGAGACUCAUACGAUAGAAAUGUCCAUGGUGACUUCUCAGACCUUCGCAUACAUUUCUAUUGUUGCCAAAUCAUCGCAACUACUCUGGAAAACAGUACCAGCUAACUGCUAAAUCUGCGCCCUACGCCACAUUUCGGAGGCCUAAUUGCUUAAUUGCAAUAGUUUCAUUACGUGUGUUCUAUGUGUUAAGCUUUUAUUUCGGUUGGCACUAACCAAUGAGAAAGGCUUUUCCAUCAGCUCCUUUAAGCCACCUUUGAGCCACAUUUCAAGCAUGCAGGGAACAAGUAUUUGAUAGUCAAAAGGUUGAUUCGAAGGGAAAUAUUCCUUUAUCGGAAGACUACAGGUGGUGAAAAGGUGGGGAGAUAUAGGAAGGUUUGUUUUUAAGGCACUGUAACUGCAUGGUUCGCCUCCAUCCCCGUCCCAUUUGCAGGCCCCUGGAGGGCCUUCGGAGCUGGAUAAGUAGCCCUCGCAUAAUCCUGUCCUCCUAAAUGAACCCUGAGCCAGAGAGCGUCUACCUUUGCAGCAUUGUUUUUUUUUUAUUGGAGAAGGGGCUGGAAAUUGGCAGUCGGAUAUCUCUAAACUGAGUUUAGUGACUUACAGUAUUUACACAAAUAAACACUCACACGCCAUCUUGCACAGACAUGCAGAUGCGCACAGGUAUGUUACGCAAGCGCUCGCACAUUAAGACACACACACACAGACUCUCGCUUACACACAGACAGACACACACAAUAGAGACGGAGGUGGUGCUUUUUUUUUUUUUUUCUCCAGGUCACAGUUACAAACUUUAAAGCGAGUGGAAAAGUCCCUCCUUCCUCUCCCCCUAAAAGAAUAGUGCAGAUGUUUGGAUUUUCUCUUUCUCUCGUGUUUCUUAAAGAAAGGAUGAAGGUUCCGUCAGCGCAGGACAGAUAGCUGUGAAGGACAGGAGACGUGUCCCGGGCCCCUCCCCAUUGCUCUCCACCUGUCUCCCACAGAAAUCAGACCUAAAAUCAAAGGCCCAGAGCCACUUCAAAUGUUUACAUAGAACUACAUGAAAAGGGCAAAGUAGACUCUCUCUUGUCUUUCUACCCCCCACCUUCACUGCACACACACACACACACACCCCACCCAGUCUUCUUCUCUCCGUC
ensembl:lncRNA